UCUUUCUGCAAAGAGGAGUAGGUUUUGCUCGGAACAGGAGGACGACGCCGGAGCUUGAACCGCGCCGCCAUCAGAGCCACCACGCGCCUCCACGCGCCGGCGCGUGAGGCAGAUUCCGGCGACCUCUCCGACUGAAAAUUACACCGGUCAACUCGCCUUAGUGUGUAGGUUCUGCCCAUGUAUGUUUUGUGGAGUUUUGGGUUGUAUUCUACACUUAGGCGAGGCGAGCAUAUUAAGCGUUCGGUCUUCACCGAC